AUGACUCCUUCCCGCCCCACUGUAGUGCUUGCGUGUUCAUUAAGGCCCACCAGACUGAGUGGAAGAAGCUGCUUACCUGUCAUCGCUCAGAGAAGCCUGCACCGACACCCGAAUCGCUCCCAUCCAGCACUGUACCAUCACUGCUGCAGGUGCUUUACGGAACAAACCAGGACCUGAUUUUAGGUUUGUUUGCCUCUUCAUUGUGUGUGUCACCACCGAAUGGAGUCUGCACAAGGCCUUGUCCGCCAGGUAAGCUCAGUACCUAAAACAGAGUCUGAAACAGGGUGAACUCAAUAAAUGUGUGUUGAAUAGAUUCCCUGGCUUAGUGAACGAAUAUGUGGUUAUACCG
rnacentral:lncRNA from 1 species